rnacentral:rRNA from 1 species
AGCGAACGCUGGCGGCGGGCCUAACACAUGCAAGUCGAACGGACCCUUCGGGGUUAGUGGCGGACGGGUGAGUAACACGUGGGAACGUGCCUUUAGGUUCGGAAUAGCCCCUGGAAACGGGUGGUAAUGCCGAAUGUGCCCUUCGGGGGAAAGAUUUAUCGCCUUUAGAGCGGCCCGCGUCUGAUUAGCUAGUUGGUGAGGUAAUGGCUCACCAAGGCGACGAUCAGUAGCUGGUCUGAGAGGAUGACCAGCCACAUUGGGACUGAGACACGGCCCAAACUCCUACGGGAGGCAGCAGUGGGGAAUCUUGCGCAAUGGGCGAAAGCCUGACGCAGCCAUGCCGCGUGGAUGAUGAAGGUCUUAGGAUUGUAAAAUCCUUUCACCGGUGAAGAUAAUGACUGUAGCCGGAGAAGAAGCCCCGGCUAACUUCGUGCCAGCCGCCGCCGUAAAAC